rnacentral:pre_miRNA from 14 species
UUCUUCAUUGAAAUCCUUUUGAAAGAGCCCCGGAGUGGGGAGACCCUCACUCAAGUCUCGGGAUGACGCAACCCCCCAAGAACUCACACAAGACU